GCUUCGUGGUCGAGUGGCAAAGAUAUUUGCUUCUUAACCUGACAUCUCGGGUUCGAUUCCCGGUCGAGAAUU